rnacentral:rRNA from 1 species
GACGAACGCUGGCGGCGUGCUUAACACAUGCAAGUCGAGCGGUAAGGCCCUUUCGGGGGUACACGAGCGGCGAACGGGUGAGUAACACGUGGGUGACCUGCCCUCAGCUCUGGGAUAAGCCCGGGAAACUGGGUCUAAUACUGGAUAUGACUCCAUGACGCAUGUUGUGGGGUGGAAAGCCUUGUGCGGCUGAGGAUGGGCCCGCGGCCUAUCAGCUUGUUGGUGGGGNGAUGGCCUACCAAGGCGACGACGGGUAGCCGGCCUGAGAGGGCGACCGGCCACACUGGGACUGAGACACGGCCCAGACUCCUACGGGAGGCAGCAGUGGGGAAUCUUGCGCAAUGGGCGAAAGCCUGACGCAGCGACGCCGCGUGAGGGAUGACGGCCUGGUGU